rnacentral:rRNA from 1 species
AUUGAACGCUGGCGGCAGGCCUAACACAUGCAAGUCGAGCGGAUGAAGGGAGCUUGCUCCUGGAUUCAGCGGCGGACGGGUGAGUAAUGCCUAGGAAUCUGCCUGGUAGUGGGGGAUAACGUCCGGAAACGGGCGCUAAUACCGCAUACGUGCUGAGGGAGAAAGUGGGGGAUCUUCGGACCUCACGCUAUCAGAUGAGCCUAGGUCGGAUUAGCUAGUUGGUGGGGUAAAGGCCUACCAAGGCGACGAUCCGUGACUGGUCUGAGAGGAUGAUCGGUCACACUGGAACUGAGACACGGUCCAGACUCCUACGGGAGGCAGCAGUGGGGAAUAUUGGACAAUGGGCGAAAGCCUGAUCCAGCCAUGCCGCGUGUGUGAAGAAGGUCUUCGGAUUGUAAAGCACUUUAAGUUGGGAGGAAGGGCAGUAAGUUAAUACCUUGCUGUUUUGACGUUACCAACAGAAUAAGCACCGGCUAACUUCGUG